rnacentral:rRNA from 3 species
UACGUAGGUGGCAAGCGUUGUCCGGAUUUAUUGGGCGUAAAGCGAACGCAGGCGGGAGAACAAGUCAGCUGUGAAAGCCCUCGGCUUAACCGAGGAACGGCAACUGAAACUGUUUUUCUUGAGUGCAGAAGAGGAGAGUGGAACUCCAUGUGUAGCGGUGAAAUGCGUAGAUAUAUGGAAGAACACCAGUGGCGAAGGCGGCUCUCUGGUCUGUAACUGACGCUGAGGUUCGAAAGCAUGGGUAGCGAACAGG